rnacentral:rRNA from 1 species
GACGAACGCUGGCGGCGUGCUUUACACAUGCAAGUCGAACGGUGAAGGUGGAGCUUGCUCCGCCGGAUCAGUGGCGAACGGGUGAGUAACACGUGGGCAACCUGCCCUAACUUUGGGAUAACUACUCGAAAGAGUAGCUAAUACCGGAUAUGAAGUCUGUAGGCAUCUACGGAUUUGGAAAGUUUUUCGGUUAGGGAUGGGCCCGCGGCCUAUCAGCUUGUUGGUGAGGUAGUGGCUCACCAAGGCGACGACGGGUAGCCGGCCUGAGAGGGCGACCGGCCACACUGGGACUGAGACACGGCCCAGACUCCUACGGGAGGCAGCAGUGGGGAAUAUUGCGCAAUGGGCGAAAGCCUGACGCAGCAACGCCGCGUGCGGGAUGAAGGCCUUCGGGUUGUAAACCGCUUUCAGCAGGGAAGAAGCGAAAGUGACGGUACCUGCAGAAGAAGCACCGGCUAACUACGUGCCAGCAGCCGCCGUAA